rnacentral:tRNA from 1 species
GGCACCAUGGCUUAGCUGGCUAAAGCACCUGUUUAGUAAACAGGAGAUCCUGGGUUCAACUCCCAGUGGUGCCU